UACUUUCCGUACCCCAAAAAUGCGUAGC
rnacentral:sRNA from 1 species